UACGGAGGGUGCGAGCGUUGUCCGGAAUCACUGGGCGUAAAGGGCGCGUAGGUGGCGCGGGCAGUCAACGGUGAAAGUUCGGGGGCUCAACCCCGAAUCGGCCGUCGAUACUCCCGGGCUUGAGCACUGUAGAGGCUAAUGGGAAUUCCGGGUGGAUAGCGGUGGAAUGCGUAGAGAUCGGUAGGAACACCAGUGGCGAAGGCGGCUG
rnacentral:rRNA from 1 species